UUGGAGAGUUUGAUCCUGGCUCAGAUUGAACGCUGGCGGCAGGCCUAACACAUGCAAGUCGAGCGGAUGACGGGAGCUUGCUCCUUGAUUCAGCGGCGGACGGGUGAGUAAUGCCUAGGAAUCUGCCUGGUAGUGGGGGACAACGUUUCGAAAGGAACGCUAAUACCGCAUACGUCCUACGGGAGAAAGCAGGGGACCUUCGGGCCUUGCGCUAUCAGAUGAGCCUAGGUCGGAUUAGCUAGUAGGUGAGGUAAUGGCUCACCUAGGCGACGAUCCGUAACUGGUCUGAGAGGAUGAUCAGUCACACUGGAACUGAGACACGGUCCAGACUCCUACGGGAGGCAGCAGUGGGGAAUAUUGGACAAUGGGCGAAAGCCUGAUCCAGCCAUGCCGCGUGUGUGAAGAAGGUCUUCGGAUUGUAAAGCACUUUAAGUUGGGAGGAACCCAGUAAGUUAAUACCUUGCUGUUUUGAC
rnacentral:rRNA from 1 species